rnacentral:rRNA from 1 species
UGCAGUCGAGGGGCAUCGGAUAGAGUACUUCGGUACUCUUGCCGGCGACCGGCGGACGGGUGCGUAACGCGUAUGCAACCUACCUUCAACAGGGGGAUAAUCCGAAGAAAUUUGGUCUAAUACCCCAUAAUAUUCCGACAGGCAUCUGUUGGAGUUGAAAGCUUCGGUGGUUGGAGAUGGGCAUGCGUUGUAUUAGCUAGAUGGUGAGGUAACGGCUCACCAUGGCGAUGAUACAUAGGGGGACUGAGAGGUUUUCCCCCCACACUGGUACUGAGACACGGACCAGACUCCUACGGGAGGCAGCAGUGAGGAAUAUUGGUCAAUGGACGGAAGUCUGAACCAGCCAUGCCGCGUGCAGGAUGAAUGUGCUAUGCAUUGUAAACUGCUUUUGUACGAGGGUAAACACAGAUACGCGUAUCUGCUUGAAAGUAUCGUACGAAUAAGGAUCGGCUAACUCCGUGCCAGCAGCCGCGGUAAUACGGAGGAUCCGAGCGUUAUCCGGAUUUAUUGGGUUUAAAGGGUGCGUAGGCUGUUUUUUAAGUUAGAGGUGAAAGCUCGACGCUCGACGUCGAAAUUGCCUCUGAUACUGAGAGACUAGAGUGUAGUUGCGGAAGCGGAAUGUGUGGUGUAGCGGUGAAAUGCUUAGAUAUCACACAGAACACCGAUUGCGAAGGCAGCUUUCCAAGCUAUUACUGACGCUG